UACGGAGGGUGCAAGCGUUGCUCGGAAUUAUUGGGCGUAAAGGGUAGGUAGGUGGUCUCAUUUGUCUGGGGUGAAAGCCUUGAGCUUAACUCAAGAAGUGCCCCGGAAACGGUGAGACUCGAGUACUGGAGAGGUUCGUGGAAUUCCCGGUGUAGCGGUGAAAUGCGUAGAGAUCGGGAGGAACACCAGAGGCGAAGGCGGCGAACUGGACAGUUACUGACACUCAACUACGAAAGCGUGGGGAGCAAACAGG
rnacentral:rRNA from 1 species